UACGUAGGGUGCGAGCGUUGUCCGGAAUUAUUGGGCGUAAAGGGCUCGUAGGCGGUCUGUUGCGUCGGGCGUGAAAACUCAGGGCUUAACCCUGAGCCUGCUUCCGAUACGGGCAGACUAGAGGUAUGCAGGGGAGAACGGAAUUCCUGGUGUAGCGGUGAAAUGCGCAGAUAUCAGGAGGAACACCGGUGGCGAAGGCGGUUCUCUGGGCAUUACCUGACGCUGAGGAGCGAAAGCUAGGGGAGCGAACAGG
rnacentral:rRNA from 1 species